rnacentral:rRNA from 1 species
GACAGAGGUCCCGAGCGUUAGGCGGAAUCACUGGGCUUAAAGCGUGUGUAGGCGGCGGCCUAAGUACCUUGUGAAAUCCCACGGCUCACCCGUGGAACUGCUCGGUAUACUGGGUCGCUUGAGCCACUUAGGGGCUACCGGAACAAAUGGUGGAGCGGUGAAAUGCGUAGAUAUCUGCAGGAACACCCGUGGCGAAAGCGGCGCGCUGGACCACUACUGACGCUGAGGAACGAAAGCUAGGGGAGCAAACAGG